rnacentral:pre_miRNA from 11 species
GACCGUUCGGGAUAAUCGAUUAUCCCGUGCAGUUGUGUUAAGAGAACCGCACGGGAUAAUCGAAUAUCCCGUGCGGUG